UACGUAGGGGGCAAGCGUUGUUCGGAAUUACUGGGCGUAAAGGGCGCGUAGGCGGCCACCGCAAGUCGGUUGUGAAAUCUCCGGGCUUAACCCGGAAAGGUCAAUCGAUACUGCGGGGCUAGAGUGCAGAAGGGGCAACUGGAAUUCUCGGUGUAGCGGUGAAAUGCGUAGAUAUCGAGAGGAACACCUGCGGCGAAGGCGGGUUGCUGGGCUGACACUGACGCUGAAGCGCGAAAGCUAGGGGAGCGAACGGG
rnacentral:rRNA from 1 species